AGUGAACGCUGGCGGUAGGCCUAACACAUGCAAGUCGAACGGCAGCACAGUAAGAGCUUGCUCUUACGGGUGGCGAGUGGCGGACGGGUGAGGAAUACAUCGGAAUCUACUUUUUCGUGGGGGAUAACGUAGGGAAACUUACGCUAAUACCGCAUACGACCUACGGGUGAAAGCAGGGGAUCUUCGGACCUUGCGCGAUUGAAUGAGCCGAUGUCGGAUUAGCUAGUUGGCGGGGUAAAGGCCCACCAAGGCGAUGAUCCGUAGCUGGUCUGAGAGGAUGAUCAGCCACACUGGAACUGAGACACGGUCCAGACUCCUACGGGAGGCAGCAGUGGGGAAUAUUGGACAAUGGGCGCAAGCCUGAUCCAGCCAUACCGCGUGGGUGAAGAAGGCCUUCGGGUUGUAAAGCCCUUUUGCUGGGAAAGAAAAGCAGCAGGUUAAUACCCCGCUGUUCUGACGGUACCCAAAGAAUAAGCACCGGCUAACUUCGUG
rnacentral:rRNA from 1 species